CUGCUCUGAUGAUGGUUACUCUGUCUAUCACAAUAACAGAGUAACACCCCUCCCGUCCUCCUCUGUCUCUAACAGAGUAGCAUCUCUCCUCCUCCUCUGA